UCUCCACUUUGGCAAAAAGCGCUUCCUUCUAUCCAAUGGUUUAUUCCAGAAACAAGGCAUUCAUCCUUCAUACCUUCUACUGUGCCAGCAAUUAUAUAUUCCUACAGGUACAUUUUUCUGGCAAGAGGAUUAAUACUUGAAAAGGUAAAUGUCCAUGCUCUAAAAUAGUGAUUCUUAAACUUUAUUGUGCAUAAUAAUCACCAGGGGAGCUUGCUGACAUCUCCAAUUCCUAUAAUCACUGCGGUGGGAAAUUUGGCAGUAUCUAACAACAUAAAAUAUUCAUUUACCAUUUGAUCCAGCAAUUCUUGUUUCUAAAAUUCAACCUGAGGAUGCAUCUUAACAAAUAAGAAACAGCACAUACACUAAGUUAUUUACUGUAACCUUAUGAAUAAUAGCAAAAUAUUAGAAACAUUUUUUAACCAGCCCUCUCUUCCCUGGCUGUUCAUUAAUUUCUUUCCAGAAAACUAGACCCUAGGUUCUGAGAUUACAACAGGGAAUUCUAAAGCACCUGGCCUCUACCUCUAGAGAAAAUACAAAACGAGAUCAUUGAGGAUAAAGAUGCUUUUGAAUUUAUGAAUACUCAGGGAUGACUGAGAUGGGUAGCUCUGCAGAUUGUUAAUUGAUUGAUAGGUGGAUGCAAUGUCUGGUAACAAGCUCUUGUUAGUCUCAUAAUCAAAGAAUUUAAAAUAGUAGGCUAGGCUGGGUGUGGUGGCUCAAGCCUGUAAUCCCAGCACUUUGGGAGGCCGAGGUGGGCAGAUCACGAGGCCAG
rnacentral:lncRNA from 1 species